UGGGUUGUGGCUCAGUGGUAGAGCGCUUGCCUAGCUAGCAUGUGCAAAGCCCUGGGUUCGGUCCUCAGCACCACAU
rnacentral:tRNA from 1 species